rnacentral:lncRNA from 1 species
CAGCGGCCCCGCCUCCAGCGCAUGCCCUACCACUACUACGAGCCCAAGGGGCCGGACGAAUGUGUCACCUACAUCCAGAAUGAGCACAGUCGCAAGGGCAACCACCACCGCUUCAUCACCGAGAAAAGGGUCUUCUCAUCGUGGGCCCAGCUGAAUAAACACACCUACGCUCCGGCUUCGUGUCCUGUGUCACCUGGGUCGAGCACAGCCUUCUGGUCCAGCGCUGCAUGCGGCCUCAGGACCACGUCUUCCGGUUGGGGGCUCCCAGUAAAGCGAUCCUCAGCUUCUUCAGCAGCCAGUGGCCAGUGAGAGCACUGACACGGCUCCCGGGACCUCGGCAGGAUGGAAGAGAAGCUGAAGAAAACCAAGAUCAUCUUUGUGGUGGGUGGGCCUGGCUCAGGGAAGGGCACCCAGUGUGAGAAGAUCGUGCAGAAGUAUGGCUACACCCACCUCUCCACCGGGGACCUCCUGCGGUCCGAGGUCAGCUCAGGCUCGGCCAGGGGCAAGAAGCUGUCGGAAAUCAUGGAGAAGGGGCAGCUGGUUCCACUGGAGACAGUGUUGGACAUGCUCCGGGAUGCCAUGGUGGCCAAAGUCAAUACUUCCAAAGGCUUCCUGAUUGAUGGCUACCCGCGGGAGGUGCAGCAAGGAGAAGAGUUUGAGCGACGGAUUGGACAGCCCACACUGCUGCUGUAUGUGGACGCAGGCCCUGAGACCAUGACCCAGCGGCUCUUGAAACGUGGAGAGACCAGCGGGCGUGUGGACGACAAUGAGGAGACCAUCAAAAAGCGGCUGGAGACCUAUUACAAGGCCACAGAACCUGUCAUCGCCUUCUAUGAGAAACGUGGCAUUGUGCGCAAGGUCAACGCUGAGGGCUCCGUGGACAGUGUCUUCUCCCAGGUCUGCACCCACCUGGACGCCCUAAAGUAGCAACGCUGGAGCCGCUUCCCCAGCUCAGAGCCCCGCCCCACCCCGUCCUGAUUCGAGGUCCUCCUGGCCUGAGCGCAGCGCCUCCACCCUGCCCUGCUGAGCACAGACGGAGGAAGCCGCUUAUCCUGUUUUCAUGGACAGCUG